AGAUCAUGGCUCAGGAUGAACGCUGGCGGCGUGCUUAACACAUGCAAGUCGAACGAAGACAUCUGAGUGCUUGCACUUGGAUGGACUGAGUGGCGGACGGGUGAGUAACGCGUGGGUAACCUGCCUUAUACAGGGGGAUAACAGUUGGAAACGACUGCUAAUACCGCAUAAGCGCACGGUAUCGCAUGAUACAGUGUGAAAAACUCCGGUGGUAUAAGAUGGACCCGCGUCUGAUUAGUUAGUUGGCGGGGUAACGGCCCACCAAGACCGCGAUCGGUAGCCGACCUGAGAGGGUGACCGGCCACAUUGGGACUGAGACACGGCCCAGACUCCUACGGGAGGCAGCAGUGGGGAAUAUUGCACAAUGGAGGAAACUCUGAUGCAGCGACGCCGCGUGAGCGAAGAAGUAUUUCGGUAUGUAAAGCUCUGUCAGCAGGGAAGAUAAUGACGGUACCUGACCAAGAAGCCCCGGCUAACUACGUG
rnacentral:rRNA from 1 species